rnacentral:lncRNA from 1 species
GUAUUAAGUGCAAAAUUUGUAACGAAACUUUUCAACAUUUGACCGAAGGAAAUUUAGGAGGGACUGGACCAUUUACAAGACAUAUGAGAGCUGUCCAUCAUAUAGAAUGGGUCAAUAAUUAUGGGAAGCAAUGAUUUGUAAGUUUUAGACUUUUAGUAUAUUUGACUGUUUGUACUUUAUUCAGAGAUUGGAUUAGAUAGAUCGGAAUGAAGAAAUCAGGAAAGGAAGAUGUUCACACUUCACAGUUCAUACUUCAUAGCCUAGAAGACGAAGAACUUUAACUUGGAGAUAUUGAUUAUGAUGAAGAUGAAGUGAUGCAAAACAUUUGAAAUUACUACACUAUAAAAAAUGUAAACAUUUCAUUAUCUACUUAUUAAUUUGAAAUUGAGAAAUAAAGUAGCACUUGCAAUAAGUGUAAUUUUUUCCCC